rnacentral:rRNA from 1 species
UUUUGAAUUAAUAAUAUAAAGUCUAAUCUGCCCACUGAUAAUAAAUUAAAGGGCUGCAGUAUUUUGACUGUACAAAGGUAGCAUAAUCAUUAGUCUCUUAAUUGGUGACUUGUAUGAAAGAUUUGAUGAGAUAUAAACUGUCUCUUUAUAAUUUUUAGAAUUUAAUUUUUUAGUUAAAAAGCUAAAAUGUAUUUAAAAGACGAGAAGACCCUAUAGAGUUUAAUAUUUAUUAAUAUAUUAAAAAUUUUUUGUAUAUUUUAUAAUUUUAAUAUGAAUAAGUAUUUUGUUGGGGUGAUAGAAAAAUUAAAAUAACUUUUUUUAGAAUUUUACAUUGAUAAGUGAUUAAGUGAUCCGUAAUUUACGAUUAUAAGAAAAAAUUACCUUAGGGAUAACAGCGUAAUUUUUUUUUUUAGUUCAAAUAAGAAAAAAAGUUUGCGACCUCGAUGUUGGAUUAAGAUAAAAUUUAAAUGCAAAAGUUUAAAAUUUUGAUCUG